rnacentral:rRNA from 1 species
GAUGAACGCUGGCGGCGUGCCUAAUACAUGCAAGUCGAGCGAACAGACGAGGAGCUUGCUCCUCUGACGUUAGCGGCGGACGGGUGAGUAACACGUGGAUAACCUACCUAUAAGACUGGGAUAACUUCGGGAAACCGGAGCUAAUACCGGAUAAUAUAUUGAACCGCAUGGUUCAAUAGUGAAAGACGGUUUUGCUGUCACUUAUAGAUGGAUCCGCGCCGCAUUAGCUAGUUGGUAAGGUAACGGCUUACCAAGGCGACGAUGCGUAGCCGACCUGAGAGGGUGAUCGGCCACACUGGAGCUGAGACACGGUCCAGACUCCUACGGGAGGCAGCAGUAGGGAAUCUUCCGCAAUGGGCGAAAGCCUGACGGAGCAACGCCGCGUGAGUGAUGAAGGUCUUCGGAUCGUAAAACUCUGUUAUUAGGGAAGAACAAAUGUGUAAGUAACUAUGCACGUCUUGACGGUACCUAAUCAGAAAGCCACGGCUAACCACGUG